UACGUAGGGUGCGAGCGUUGUCCGGAAUUAUUGGGCGUAAAGGGCUCGUAGGCGGUUUGUCGCGUCGGGAGUGAAAACUCAGGGCUUAACCCUGAGCCUGCUUCCGAUACGGGCAGACUAGAGGUAUGCAGGGGAGAACGGAAUUCCUGGUGUAGCGGUGAAAUGCGCAGAUAUCAGGAGGAACACCGGUGGCGAAGGCGGUUCUCUGGGCAUUACCUGACGCUGAGGAGCGAAAGUGUGGGGGGCGAACAGG
rnacentral:rRNA from 1 species